UACGUAGGGGCUAGCGUUGUCCGGAAUCAUUGGGCGUAAAGAGCGCGUAGGCGGCCUGUAAGUCCGCUGUGAAAGUCAAGGGCUCAACCCUUGAAUGCCGGUGGAUACUGCAGGGCUAGAGUCCGGAAGAGGAGAAUGGAAUUCCCGGUGUAGCGGUGGAAAUGCGCAGAUAUCGGGAAGAACACCCGUGGCGAAGGCGGUUCACUGGGACGGU
rnacentral:rRNA from 1 species